AAACUGAAGAGUUUGAUCCUGGCUCAGAUUGAACGCUGGCGGCAUGCCUUACACAUGCAAGUCGAACGGCAGCACGGGUGCUUGCACCUGGUGGCGAGUGGCGAACGGGUGAGUAAUACAUCGGAACGUGUCCUGUAGUGGGGGAUAGCCCGGCGAAAGCCGGAUUAAUACCGCAUACGAUCUACGGAUGAAAGCGGGGGAUCUUCGGACCUCGCGCUAUAGGGGCGGCCGAUGGCGGAUUAGCUAGUUGGUGAGGUAAAGGCUCACCAAGGCGACGAUCCGUAGCUGGUCUGAGAGGACGACCAGCCACACUGGGACUGAGACACGGCCCAGACUCCUACGGGAGGCA
rnacentral:rRNA from 1 species